AUUGAACGCUGGCGGCAUGCCUUACACAUGCAAGUCGAACGGCAGCGCGGGGCAACCUGGCGGCGAGUGGCGAACGGGUGAGUAAUAUAUCGGAACGUGCCCUGGAGUGGGGGAUAACGUAGCGAAAGUUACGCUAAUACCGCAUACGAUCCAAGGAUGAAAGCAGGGGACCUUCGGGCCUUGUGCUCCUGGAGCGGCCGAUAUCUGAUUAGCUAGUUGGUGGGGUAAAAGCCUACCAAGGCGACGAUCAGUAGCUGGUCUGAGAGGACGACCAGCCACACUGGAACUGAGACACGGUCCAGACUCCUACGGGAGGCAGCAGUGGGGAAUUUUGGACAAUGGGGGCAACCCUGAUCCAGCAAUGCCGCGUGUGUGAAGAAGGCC
rnacentral:rRNA from 1 species